UCCUUUAUUUCUGCUUGCUGGCAUCUUCUGCUAGCUGGUCUUUCUGUGAUUGCUUUACAGGGUUGCAUUUGGGACUCUUUGUCAUAGGAUGGUAUGGAAAUCAAGAAUAUAAAUAGCUUUACAAAGGUUAGAAGAACAAAAGUCCAUAGGCUCCACCUUAAGAAAUCAAAGACUGCCCAAUCCAUUGUGGACCAUUUGUCACAGACCAUCCACUGUUAGAAAUGAGCUGUUGAUAUGAUGCCCCAUUCCUUAAUGUGGAUAAUAUUCUGCAAUACUGGGAUAAUACUGUCCUACUUAUGAAUGCUGGCGGUGCUGUCAUACAGGAGCUGUUGCCUUUGCAAGAAUGCUGUCUUCGUUUCUCUCCUAAGUGGUUUGAUGUUACUUAGCUGUUGCAACCAACACAGGUGCUGUUGGUUUAUUCCUCACCUGAAUGCUUGCAAGCAGUCAGCAGAACCAGACGCGUUCUCCUGAGGAAAAGCAUGGAAUUAGGUCUGGAAAUCCUAUUGCAUCCUGUUGAACCCUGCAGUCAAACUGAAGCUUUGCAGAAGCAGAUCCUACGCAGAAGGUAUCAGAGGGAGUGGUACUGGAUGCCUUCACAGGAGUCAGCUUGUGGGGCUGGGACUCUGCCUCGCUGCAUCAUCUCAUGCUUGUUAAUACCAGUUCUGUGCUUUGCUGCCUAUUCUGCCUGAACGGUGUGUACAUGGACACAAAUUCUAACUUCUAGCCCUGUUCAAUCCCUACUACUAUAUGCUUGCCUGAAAAACAUCAGUGGUUAUAAUGGUGCAGAAAGUUGACAUAACUGUUCUUGCAAAUCUAAGCAAAUCUAUUCUCUAGAAGUUUCAUGCUGGUGUGGAAUAUAUGUACGUUUUGCAAGACUUUUUGAUGAGCCACAUAGACUCAAGUCCACUUGAAAAGCUGGUGAUGCUUUCUCAAGAAGUUGUUGUUCCUAAUAAUUUAAAGUUUCUAAUUUUUCUUCAAAAUGCUCAAAAGUUG
rnacentral:lncRNA from 1 species